ACGCACGCUGGCGGCAUGCCUCACCCCUGCAAGUCGAACGAGACCUUCGGGUCUAGUGGCGCACGGGUGCGUAACGCGUGGGAACCUGCCCUUAGGUUCGGAAUAACUCCCCGAAAGGGGUGCUAAUACCGGAUAAUGUCUUCGGACCAAAGAUUUAUCGCCUUUGGAUGGGCCCGCGUCGGAUUAGCUAGUUGGUAGGGUAAAAGCCUACCAAGGCGACGAUCCAUAGCUGGUCUGAGAGGAUGAUCAGCCACACUGGGACUGAGACACGGCCCAGACUCCUACGGGAGGCAGCAGUGGGGAAUAUUGGACAAUGGGCGAAAGCCUGAUCCAGCAAUGCCGCGUGAGUGAUGAAGGCCUUAGGGUUGUAAAGCUCUUUUACCCGGGAUGAUAAUGACAGUACCGGGAGAAUAAGCUCCGGCUAACUCCGUG
rnacentral:rRNA from 1 species